rnacentral:rRNA from 1 species
UACGUAGGGUGCGAGCGUUGCCCGGAUUUAUUGGGCGUAAAGGGCGCGUAGGCGGCUCGGCACGUCCGUUGUGAAAUCGCCCGGCUCAACUGGGCGGGGUCAGCGGAUACGGUCGAGCUUGAGCAAGCUAGGGGGUAAUGGAAUUCCCGGUGUAGUGGUGGAAUGCGUAGAUAUCGGGAGGAACACCAGUGGCGAAGGCGGGUACCUGGGGCUCUGCUGACGCUGAUGCGCGAAAGCGUGGGGAGCGAUCCGG